UAGGGAAUCUUCGGCAAUGGGGGCAACCCUGACCGAGCAACGCCGCGUGAGUGAAGAAGGUUUUCGGAUCGUAAAGCCCUGUUGUAAGAGAAGAACGUGUGUGAGAGUGGAAAGUUCACACAGUGACGGUAACUUACCAGAAAGGGACGGCUAACUACGUGCCAGCAGCCGCGGUAAUACGUAGGUCCCGAGCGUUGUCCGGAUUUAUUGGGCGUAAAGCGAGCGCAGGCGGUUUAAUAAGUCUGAAGUUAAAGGCAGUGGCUUAACCAUUGUUCGCUUUGGAAACUGUUAAACUUGAGUGCAGAAGGGGAGAGUGGAAUUCCAUGUGUAGCGGAGAAAUGCGUAGAUAUAUGGAGGAACACCGGUGGCGAAAGCGGCUCUCUGGUCUGUAACUGACGCUGAGGCUCGAAAGCGUGGGGAGCAAACAGG
rnacentral:rRNA from 1 species